rnacentral:rRNA from 1 species
CACGUAGGGGGCAAGCGUUGUCCGGAUUUAUUGGGCGUAAAGAGCUCGUAGGCUGUUCGAUAAGUCGGGUGUGAAACCUCCAGGCUCAACCUGGAGACGCCACCCGAUACUGUCAUGACUAGAGUCCGGUAGGGGAGCGUGGAAUUCCUGGUGUAGCGGUGAAAUGCGCAGAUAUCAGGAGGAACACCAGCGGCGAAGGCGGCGCUCUGGGCCGGUACUGACGCUGAGGAGCGAAGGCCAGGGGAGCGAACGGG